rnacentral:rRNA from 1 species
UACGGGGGGAGCAAACGUUGUUCGGAAUCACUGGGCGUAAAGGGCGUGUAGGCGGCUGGAUAAGUGGGAUGUUAAAUCCCCCGGCUCAACCGGGGACCUGCAUCUCAUACUGUUCAGCUCGAGCACAUCAGAGGAGACUGGAAUUCCCGGUGUAGCGGUGAAAUGCGUAGAUAUCUGGAGGAACACCGGUGGCGAAGGCGGCAUCCUGGACCGGCAUUGACGCUGAGGCGCGAAAGCCAGGGGAGCAAACGGG